GAUGAACGCUGGCGGCGUGCUUAACACAUGCAAGUCGAACGGUGAAAGAGAGCCUGCUCUCUGGAUCAGUGGCGAACGGGUGAGUAACACGUGAGCAAUCUGCCCUUGACUCUGGGAUAAGCGCUGGAAACGGCGUCUAAUACCGGAUACGAGCUGCGAAGGCAUCUUCAGCAGCUGGAAAGAACUUCGGUCAAGGAUGAGCUCGCGGCCUAUCAGCUAGUUGGUGAGGUAACGGCUCACCAAGGCGUCGACGGGUAGCCGGCCUGAGAGGGUGACCGGCCACACUGGGACUGAGACACGGCCCAGACUCCUACGGGAGGCAGCAGUGGGGAAUAUUGCACAAUGGGCGCAAGCCUGAUGCAGCAACGCCGCGUGAGGGACGACGGCCUUCGGGUUGUAAACCUCUUUUAGCAGGGAAGAAGCGAAAGUGACGGUACCUGCAGAAAAAGCACCGGCUAACUACGUGCCAGCAGCCGCAGUAAUAC
rnacentral:rRNA from 1 species